AAAGUGACUCAGCUAUAUGUAUACGUAUAUCCCCUCUUUUUUGGCUUUCCUUCCCAUUUAGGUCACCACAGAACACUGAGUAGAGUUCCCUGUGUUAUACAGUAUAUAAUAACUGUGGCCGAUGUCUCCAGCUAUGAGCUCUACCCUGUUACCUAUUUAAUCUCCAACAACCUGAGGAGGUGUGCAGGAACGUGGUCACCUGCUGUGUUGGAGGAGCAGAGUUCUCGCUCAAGGGACU